UUAGGAAUCUUCCCCAAUGGACGAAAGUCUGAGGGAGCGACGCCGCGUGAGGGAUGAAGGUUUUCGGAUCGUAAACCUCUGAAUCUGGGACGAAAGACCGCGAAGAGCGGAGAUGACGGUACCAGAGUAAUAGCACCGGCUAACUCCGU
rnacentral:rRNA from 1 species